UCUUGACUAGUAUAUCGGUUAGUACACGCGCUUGUCAACUUGGUAUACGCGCGAAAGCUGGGUUCGACUCCCAGGUCGAGAG